ensembl:snRNA U6 U6 spliceosomal RNA
GUGCUUGUUUGGCAGCACACAUAAUAAACUUCGAGUGAUGCAGAGAAGAUUAGCAUGCCUCUUGCACAAGGAUGAUGUACACAUUUGUAAAGCAUUCCAUGUUUUU